UGUGUGCACCAUACCACCCACAAACCAAUGGUCUAGUUGAAAGGCUAAAUGGCACAAUACAGAGAUCAUUAAGCAAGCUGGUGGGAAAGCAGCCACACAAGUGGUCUGAUUAUUUGGAGGCCACAAUGUUUGGUCUCCGCACCAAAAAACAAGUGACGACAAAGUACUCUCCAUAUUACUUAAUGUUUGGCCGGGAGGCAAGGUAUCCAUCCGAGGUACCUGACAAAUAUGAGAUCAAUGAAUCUGUGGAGGACAUUCUGGCUGAGGAGUGCAUCUCUGAAUGCAUUAAAAGGCAAGACCGCAUCUUUCAAACUGUCCGGGACAAUAUUAGUUGUGCUCAACAGAAGGCCAAAAAAAGGAAGCUGGAAAAGGGAUUGUCUGUAGACAUUAAGGUUGGUGACAGGGUUUUGCGUAAAAAUAUACGGAGCAGGCAGAGAAAGGGAGGUAAACUGGACCCAGACUUCAUUGGUCCAUACACUGUGACGAGUGUAGAUGGUAAGUCCAUAGAUUUAAGGGACGACAAGGGACACACAUUUCCGAAAAUUAACAAGGACCAUUUAGUUCAUUUUUUGGAGGAACAUGCUUGUCCUGCGCCCCAGCCUCCUGUCUGUGCCUCGACCUCCCAGCCGCCUCCUGUCUG